rnacentral:rRNA from 1 species
GAGGAAUAUUGGUCAAUGGCCGGAAGGCUGAACCAGCCAUGCCGCGUGAAGGUCAGUGCCCUAUGGGCGUUAAACUUCUUUUGUGCGGGAGCAAUAAGGUCCACGUGUGGGCCGACGAGAGUACCGUACGAAUAAGCAUCGGCUAACUCCGUGCCAGCAGCCGCGGUAAUACGGGGGAUGCAAGCGUUAUCCGGAUUUAUUGGGUUUAAAGGGUGCGUAGGCGGGUUGUUAAGUCAGUUGUGAAAGUUUGCGGCUCAACCGUAAAAUUGCAGUUGAUACUGGCAUCCUUGAGUACAGUAGAGGUAGGCGGAAUUCGUGGUGUAGCGGUGAAAUGCUUAGAUAUCACGAAGAACUCCGAUUGCGAAGGCAGCCUGCUGGACUGUAACUGACGCUGAUGCUCGAAAGUGUGGGUAUCAAACAGG